rnacentral:lncRNA from 1 species
GCCUGUCCCCAUAGGAUAACCUUUUUUUGGUUCCAGGUAGAACCCUUUUGGGUUCCAUGUACAACCUUUCCAUAGAGGGUUCUACCUGGAACCAAAAAGGGUUCUAUGAGGACAGCUGAAUAACUGUUUUGGAACCCAUUUUUCUAAGAGUGUAGGGUUAUGGCAUGGUCAGACAGGUGACUAAGCUCACCACAUUUAUACAAACCAUGGUCACCUAACCCUGAGACCUUCCAGUAGGCCAUGGAUACGCCUAUUGUCUGGGGAAGGUCCAGAUGUAAACAGAAGCUGACCCCCUCCUCCAUUACUACACUAAAAUCACUGGUUGGAAAUUCUUCUCCAGAGUGAGGGAGUCUGGUAGCGCCAUUGGCCCCCAGCCCCCAGCUAUAGCCAACACAGCAGGGCCUCACUAAGGCGGGAGAAUCUCAUUUUAUCCGGAACUUCAGCCCUGCGCUUGGAGAGAGCCCUAGGACGCGCUACCAACAGCAGGCUAAUGGAACGUGAAGUAUGGACUUUUUCGACCGAAAAUACAUCUGUUGUGGACCUGGGAUGCUUUCUGAUGAAGACAACUAAAGGUAGG